GUUAGUAUUAUAAUAAGAGGGAACUUUUUCAUAAUUUGAAGUAUCUACAAACACCUUACCCUCCAAUCACUGCCACCCACCUUCAAACUCUCUCUCUCUCUCUUCCUCCCUGUCUCUCUCUCUCUCUAAAGAUAUUAGCAAAAAUUGAGAUUCAUUUCUUGAAGCUUGCUAUAGUUUUCUCUUUCCAUUCAUAGCGCAAACACUACACUUUUGUUUUGUUUUCUUUCUUCUCUUUUCUUUGUUGCUCAAAGGGCCGCCAAAGAGAAAAGAAAAAGAAAGGAGAAACCUUUCCCAACUUUUACUUCUCACUCCUCUGAAAUUUAGAGCCUCUCUCACUCCUCUCCCCAAUUGGGGUUUCCCCAUUCUUUUCAGUUUCUCUCUCUUUCCAAAUUGGGAUGUGUUAGAAUUGAAGAAGAAGAAGAACAAGAAGUUGCAGGUACAAGUGAGCUUUCCUCUUUCUGAAAACGUUUUCUGGUUCUCGGUCUAUGAUCUUUGAAGCUUCAAUGGGUUCAGAUCCCAUUAGGGUUAUUGGGGUUUUUGGAUUAGGUGCAAGUUAGGCUAAUUUAAGUUUCUUGAUUUGGAAAGAUAUUUGUUUGGAUUUCGAAAAGUUGGGUUCUUUUUAGAUUCCUCAGAAAAAAAGUAUUCUGAUUCCUUUCAAAAUGCCCCUUGAUUUAACACUCAUUUCAUCCCUCUGAAACCUCCACCCUCUCUCUAUCUCUCUCUGCAUUCCCUCUUAAGGGUUCUCCUUCCCCUGCUCUGUUUCUUCAAAUCCUUCGAGUUUUUCGGUAUGCGAGCGUGAAUUGGAGCUCUUUAAUUCGAUAGUAUGAAGUUUGAGAUGGAGAUUCUGUCCCCUUCGUCCUAUUUUUCGACUUCGAAUAGGCUUGUCGAAGAGAGCAAGGGCGCGAGAUGGACUCCGGCGGAAAACAAAAUGUUCGAAAACGCCCUGGCGUUGUACGACAAGGACGCGCCGGACCGAUGGCACAAGGUGGCGGAGAUGAUACCGGGGAAGACGGUGAGGGACGUGAUGAAGCAGUACGAGGAAUUGGAACUUGAUGUUGGCAAUAGAAGCAGGGCUUAUUCCGAUUCCGGGAUACAGCCCCUCUCCAUUCACAUUGGAGUGGGUGAACAGACACGGUGGCUAUGAUGGGUUCAAACAGCAGUCUUAUGGGAUUGGCGGCAAGAGAUCUUCGUCGAAUCGCCCUUCGGAUCACGAAAGAAAGAAAGGGGUUCCGUGGACCGAAGAAGAACACAAGCUGUUCCUAAUGGGACUGAAGAAGUAUGGCAAGGGGGACUGGAGGAACAUCUCGAGGAAUUGUGGUGACACGAACACCGACUCAGGUCGCUAGUCAUGCACAGAAGUACUUCAUCAGGCAGCUUUCCGGGGGGAAGGAUAAGCGAAGAGCCAGCAUCCAUGACAUAACAACUGUCAAUCUCAACGACAUGAGAACUCCGUCUCCAGACAACAAAAGUCCUCUCUCUCCAGAGCUGCCUCAGCAUCCGAAUUCUGCUGCCACCGCUAGGGCUCCAUUUCAGUGGCAUCAGCCGCAAGGCGGUGGAGUAAACUUGGGUUUUAAUCAAGGGCAUGGAAAUAUGUUCAUGUCCUCCCAUCCUUAUGGGAUUAGUUCAUACGGACAAAAAAUGCAGGGGCAGGAUCUGCAGCACAAAGGUGCUGCUAAUAACUUGUACUAUGGACCGCAAAAUUUGGGUUUUCAGAUGCAAUCCUCGCAGCACUACCCGCACGGAUGAUCUAUCAAUGGCAGUUCUCCUGUCCUCAAUCCUCUGCAGCUUCAUAUGCCAUUAUGGUCCUUUAGUUCAUUAGUGUAGCUUGAUCCGACCCUUUUUUUUUCAUGGUUUAAUGUAAAUAUGUUGUUCACAACUUUGAGUUAGCCAAGCAGUAUUUGAGGGGAACAGGAUUCAAGUUUUUUCUUGGAAUUUCAAAUUAUGAAAUAUGAAACUGAGUUGAAGUAUCUCAAA